GCAGAGCGGGCUGGACCGAGGCCGUGGUCUCGCCAGGCGUCAGCACAACACGGGGAGCGCGAAGGGGCCUGAGAGCGCACACGAGGCACUGGCUGUGACGACAGCCUGGCACCAGUGUAACUGUGGUAACCACAAAGCUAGGAUCAGAACAAACCAUGCAGACGUCCCCAAGCUACACACGAUGCCCGUCACAGCCCACGAGCACCAAGAAAGCACAGCCAGUGUGCCCUCAGCAAACGCCACCACAAGUUCUGGGGUGGAUCACCACUAACCCUCGAUAUUCCACCUUCAACAGUCCAGAGCGCUAACCAGCAGCAAAGAGCAAAGCGACAGCUGUAUCCCAACAUGUCCCAACACACCGUCUCCCUGGAAAGACCCUUACUGACCAACAGUCAGAA